rnacentral:rRNA from 1 species
CCGGCGCACGGGUGAGUAACACGUAUGCAAACCCUGCCGUGCCACAGCCGGAUAAUCGGGAGAAAUUCCGUCUAAUACGGCAUAAUGCAUCGACGGGACUAUCCUGUUGGUGCCAAAGGUUAAUUCCGGUGGCGGAUGGGCAUGCGUCGCAUUAGUUAGUUGGCGGUGUAACGGACCACCAAGACGACGAUACAUAGGGGGACUGAGAGGUUAACCCCCACAUUGGUACUGAGACACGGACCAAACUCCUACGGAAGGCAGCAG